rnacentral:rRNA from 1 species
CUCCCAAACCCAAUGUGAACGUUACCAAACCGUUGCCUCGGCGGGAUCUCUGCCCCGGGUGCGUCGCAGCCCCGGACCAAGGCGCCCGCCGGAGGACCAACCAAAACUCUUAUUGUAUACCCCCUCGCGGGUUUUCUUAUAAUCUGAGCCUUCUCGGCGCCCCUCGUGGGCGUUUCGAAAAUGAAUCAAAACUUUCAACAACGGAUCUCUUGGUUCUGGCAUCGAUGAAGAACGCAGCGAAAUGCGAUAAGUAAUGUGAAUUGCAGAAUUCAGUGAAUCAUCGAAUCUUUGAACGCACAUUGCGCCCGCCAGUAUUCUGGCGGGCAUGCCUGUCCGAGCGUCAUUUCAACCCUCGAACCCCUCCGGGGGGUCGGCGUUGGGGAUCGGCCCUCCUCUCGCGGGGGCCGUCUCCGAAAUCCAGUGGCGGUCCCGCCGCAGCCUCUCCUGCGCAGUAGUUUGCACACUCGCACCGGGAGCGCGGCGCGUCCACAGCCGUUAAACACCCAACUUCUGAAAUGUUGACCUCGGAUCAGGUAGGAAUACCCGCUGAACUUAAGCAUAUCAAUAAGCGGAGGAAAAGAAACCAACAGGGAUUGCCCCAGUAACGGCGAGUGAAGCGGCAACAGCUCAAAUUUGAAAUCUGGCCCCUAGGGUCCGAGUUGUAAUUUGUAGAGGAUGCUUUUGGUGAGGUGCCGCCCGAGUUCCCUGGAACGGGACGCCACAGAGGGUGAGAGCCCCGUCUGGCUGGCCGCCGAGCCUCUGUAAAGCUCCUUCGACGAGUCGAGUAGUUUGGGAAUGCUGCUCAAAAUGGGAGGUAUAUGUCUUCUAAAGCUAAAUAUUGGCCAGAGACCGAUAGCGCACAAGUAGAGUGAUCGAAAGAUGAAAAGCACCUUGAAAAGAGGGUUAAAUAGUACGUGAAAUUGUUGAAAGGGAAGCGCUUGUGACCAGACUUGGGCGCGGCGGAUCAUCCGGGGUUCUCUCCGGUGCACUUCGCCGCGUCUAGGCCAGCAUCAGUUCGUCGCGGGGGAAAAAGGCUUCGGGAACGUGGCUCCUCCGGGAGUGUUAUAGCCCGUUGCAUAAUACCCUGCGG